rnacentral:rRNA from 1 species
CCAAUAGCGUAUAUUAAAGUUGUUGCAGUUAAAAAGCUCGUAGUUGAAUUUCGGGAUCAAUAUGUUGGUCGUGCCUUGGUACGUACUAUCUUAUUGGUUUCUCCCUUCUGACGAACCAUGAUGUCAUUAAUUUGAUGUCUUGGGGAAUCAGGACUGUUACUUUGAAAAAAUUAGAGUGUUUAAAGCAGGCUCACGCUUGAAUAUAUUAGCAUGGAAUAAUGAAAUAGGACGUUUGAUUCUAUUUUGUUGGUUUCUAGGAUCGAUGUAAUGAUUAAUAGGGAUAGUUGGGGGCAUUAGUAUUCAAUUGUCAGAGGUGAAAUUCUUGGAUUUAUUGAAGACUAACUACUGCGAAAGCAUUUGCCAAGGAUGUUUUCAUUAAUCAAGAACGAAAGUUAGGGGAUCGAAGACGAUCAGAUACCGUCGUAGUCUUAACCAUAAACUAUGCCGACUAGGGAUCGGAUGAUGUUAAUUUUUUAAUGACUCAUUCGGCGCCUUAC